rnacentral:rRNA from 1 species
UACGAAGGAUUCGAGCGUUAUCCGGAUUUAUUGGGUUUAAAGGGUGCGUAGGUGGACUAAUAAGUCAGUGGUGAAAGCCCGCAGCUUAACUGCGGAACUGCCAUUGAUACUGUUAGUCUUGAGUACAGUUGAGGUGGGCGGAAUGUGUCAUGUAGCGGUGAAAUGCUUAGAUAUGACACAGAACACCGAUUGCGAAGGCAGCUCACUAAGCUGUAACUGACACUGAGGCACGAAAAGUGUGGGUAGCAAACAGG